UGAGUAAUACAUCGGAACGUGUCUUCUAGUGGGGGAUAACUGCCCGAAAGGGCAGCUAAUACCGCAUGAGACCUGAGGGUGAAAGCGGGGGAUCGCAAGACCUCGCGCUGGAAGAGCGGCCGAUGUCCGAUUAGCUAGUUGGUGAGGUAAAGGCUCACCAAGGCGACGAUCGGUAGCCGGACUGAGAGGUUGAACGGCCACAUUGGGACUGAGACACGGCCCAG
rnacentral:rRNA from 1 species